UGGGGAAUUUUGGACAAUGGGCGAAAGCCUGAUCCAGCAAUGCCGCGUGAGUGAAGAAGGCCUUCGGGUUGUAAAGCUCUUUUGUCAGGGAGAAACGGUGAGAGCUAAUAUCUCUUGCUAAUGACGGUACCUGAAGAAUAAGCACCGGCUAACUACGUGCCAGCAGCCGCGGUAAUACGUAGGGUGCAAGCGUUAAUCGGAAUUACUGGGCGUAAAGCGUGCGCAGGCGGUUUUGUAAGUCUGAUGUGAAAUCCCCGGGCUCAACCUGGGAAUUGCAUUGGAGACUGCAAGGCUAGAACCUGGCAGAGGGGGGUAGAAUUCCACGUGUAGCAGUGAAAUGCGUAGAUAUGUGGAGGAACACCGAUGGCGAAGGCAGCCCCCUGGGUCAAGAUUGACGCU
rnacentral:rRNA from 1 species